UACGUAGGGGGGCGAGCGUUGUCCGGAUUUACUGGGCGUAAAGAGCGUGUAGGCGGCCAAGCAGGUCCGUUGUGAAAACUGGAGGCUUAACCUCCAGACGUCGACGGAAACCGCGUGGCUAGAGUCCGGAAGAGGAGAGUGGAAUUCCUGGUGUAGCGGUGGAAUGCGCAGAUAUCAGGAGGAACACCAAUAGCGAAGGCAGCUCGCUGGGACGGUACUGACACUAAGGCGCGAAAGCGUGGGGAGCGAACAGG
rnacentral:rRNA from 1 species